UAACUGAAGAGUUUGAUCAUGGCUCAGAUUGAACGCUGGCGGCAGGCUUAACACAUGCAAGUCGAGCGGGGGAAGGUAGCUUGCUACUGGACCUAGCGGCGGACGGGUGAGUAAUGCUUAGGAAUCUGCCUAUUAGUGGGGG
rnacentral:rRNA from 1 species